GACGAACGCUGGCGGCGUGCUUAACACAUGCAAGUCGAACGGAAAGGCCCUGCUUUUGUGGGGUGCUCGAGUGGCGAACGGGUGAGUAACACGUGAGUAACCUGCCCUUGACUUUGGGAUAACUUCAGGAAACUGGGGCUAAUACCGGAUAGGAGCUCCUGCUGCAUGGUGGGGGUUGGAAAGUUUCGGCGGUGGGGGAUGGACUCGCGGCUUCGCAGCUUGUUGGUGGGGUAGUGGCUUACCAAGGCUUUGACGGGUAGCCCGCCUGAGAGGGUGACCGGCCACAUUGGGACUGAGAUACGGCCCAGACUCCUACGGGAGGCAGCAGUGGGGAAUAUUGCACAAUGGGCGGAAGCCUGAUGCAGCAACGCCGCGUGCGGGAUGACGGCCUUCGGGUUGUAAACCGCUUUCGCCUGUGACGAAGCGUGAGUGACGGUAAUGGGUAAAGAAGCACCGGCUAACUACGUG
rnacentral:rRNA from 1 species